rnacentral:ncRNA from 1 species
AUAAAUACAGUGAAAAGAAAGAGUAGAUUAUUGAACAAGCGUAGAGAAUUCUUGGUUGGUGAAAAAGAAUGUUGGAAUAUAAUUGAAUUCAUCUUGGAGUAGACGGCUGAAUAAAGUAGGCUUAGUCCGGGAAUGCCCGUUAUCGCAUCAGAGUAUGAACCUAACAAUAGGCGUACUUAUGAAGGUUUCUAUAGUGAUAUAGAAAUAAACUAAGGUGGUAACACGAAAGAUCUAUCUCUCGUCCUUAUG